UAUCAUCCAGAGAUAGAAUGAUAUCAGUAGAUUUCUUACCGGAGAACAAAUUAGUGAAAUUUGAAUCUUCAAUGGAUGGCAACGAAUUGAUAUAAAGGAAGACCCUCCGGUAGAACUCAUUAUCCUGGCCAUUUUCAUUGAGCUCUGCAACUUUAAGAUACUGAUGAACAUGAAUUCUGUCAUCCAUCCAAUUCGCCCAUUUUCGCAAAACUAAUAUCAAAGCUGUUCUGUACAAGAUAAAUCUAACAAGAA
rnacentral:misc_RNA from 1 species